UACGAAGGGGGCUAGCGUUGCUCGGAAUCACUGGGCGUAAAGCGCACGUAGGCGGAUUGCUAAGUCAGGGGUGAAAUCCUGGAGCUCAACUCCAGAACUGCCUUUGAUACUGGCGAUCUUGAGUCCGGGAGAGGUGAGUGGAACUGCGAGUGUAGAGGUGAAAUUCGUAGAUAUUCGCAAGAACACCAGUGGCGAAGGCGACUUACUGGACGAUUGUUGACGCUGAGGUGCGAAAGCGUGGGGAGCAAACAGG
rnacentral:rRNA from 1 species